rnacentral:tRNA from 1 species
UGGGCUGGGGCUCAGUGGCAGAGCGCUUGUCUGGCAUGUAUGAGGCACUGGGUUCAAUUCUCAGCGCCACAU